GAGAGGUGCUGCAUGGCUGUCGUCAGCUCGUGUUGUGAAAUGUUGGGUUAAGUCUCGCAAUGAGCGCAACCCCUAUCGUCUGUUGCCAGCAUUAAGUUGGGCACUCUGACGAGACUGCCUGGGUUAACCAGGAGGAAGGUGGGGAUGACGUCAAGUCCUCAUGGCCCUUAUGUCUAGGGCUACACACGUAAUACAAUGGCGCGUACAAAGGGGAGCGAACUCGCAAGGGGCAGCAAAUCUCAAAAAGCGCGUCUCAGUCCGGAUUGGAGUCUGCAACUCGACUCCAUGAAGUUGGAAUCGCUAGUA
rnacentral:rRNA from 1 species